AACGAACGCUGGCGGCAUGCCUAACACAUGCAAGUCGAACGAUGCCUUCGGGCAUAGUGGCGCACGGGUGCGUAACGCGUGGGAAUCUGCCCUUGGGUUCGGAAUAACUCAGAGAAAUUUGAGCUAAUACCGGAUGAUGACGUAAGUCCAAAGAUUUAUCGCCCAAGGAUGAGCCCGCGUAAGAUUAGCUAGUUGGUGGGGUAAAGGCCUACCAAGGCGACGAUCUUUAGCUGGUCUGAGAGGAUGAUCAGCCACACUGGGACUGAGACACGGCCCAGACUCCUACGGGAGGCAGCAGUGGGGAAUAUUGGACAAUGGGCGAAAGCCUGAUCCAGCAAUGCCGCGUGAGUGAUGAAGGCCUUAGGGUUGUAAAGCUCUUUUACCCGUGACGAUGGUGACGGUAACGGGGGAAUAAGCUCCGGCUAACUUCGUGCCAGCAGCCGCGUAAU
rnacentral:rRNA from 1 species